rnacentral:rRNA from 1 species
GAUGAACGCUGGCGGCGUGCCUAAUACAUGCAAGUCGAGCGAACAGACGAGGAGCUUGCUCCUCUGACGUUAGCGGCGGACGGGUGAGUAACACGUGGAUAACCUACCUAUAAGACUGGGAUAACUUCGGGAAACCGGAGCUAAUACCGGAUAAUAUAUUGAACCGCAUGGUUCAAUAGUGAAAGACGGUUUUGCUGUCACUUAUAGAUGGAUCCGCGCCGCAUUAGCUAGUUGGUAAGGUAACGGCUUACCAAGGCAACGAUGCGUAGCCGACCUGAGAGGGUGAUCGGCCACACUGGAACUGAGACACGGUCCAGACUCCUACGGGAGGCAGCAGUAGGGAAUCUUCCGCAAUGGGCGGAAGCCUGACGGGGCAACGCCGCGGGAGUGAUGAAGGUCUUCGGAUCGUAAAACUUUGUUAUUAGGGAAGAACAAAUGUGUAAGUAACUAUGCACGUCUUGACGGUACCUAAUCAGAAAGCCACGGCUAACUACGUG